GAUGAACGCUAGCGGGAGGCUUAACACAUGCAAGUCGUGGGGCAGCACGGGGUAGCAAUAUCCUGGUGGCGACCGGCGCACGGGUGAGUAACGCGUAUGCAACCUACCCAGUACAGGGGGAUAGCCCGGAGAAAUUCGGAUUAAUACCCCAUAAUGAUAUUAAGAGGCAUCUUUUAAUAUUUAAAGCUACGGCGGUACUGGAUGGGCAUGCGUAAGAUUAGCUAAUUGGUAGGGUAACGGCCUACCAAGGCUCCGAUCUUUAGGGGUCCUGAGAGGGUGAUCCCCCACACUGGUACUGAGACACGGACCAGACUCCUACGGGAGGCAGCAGUGGGGAAUAUUGGUCAAUGGGCGCAAGCCUGAACCAGCCAUCCCGCGUGAAGGAAGAAUGCGCUAUGCGUUGUAAACUUCUUUUCCGGAGGAAUAAAAUUUUGUACGAGUACAGGACUGAAGGUACUCCGGGAAUAAGCAUCGGCUAACUCCGUGCCAGCCGCCGCAGUAAGAC
rnacentral:rRNA from 1 species